GGGGGAUAACAUCCGGAAACGGGUGCUAAUACCGCAUAGUUUUCUUGGUCGCAUGAUCGGGAAAGGAAAGACGGCCUUUGUGCUGUCGCUUAUGGAUGGACCCGCGGCGUAUUAGUUAGUUGGUGAGGUAACGGCUCACCAAGACGAUGAUACGUAGCCGACCUGAGAGGGUGAUCGGCCACAUUGGGACUGAGACACGGCCCAAACUCCUACGGGAGGCAGCAGUAGGGAAUCUUCCGCAAUGGACGAAAGUCUGACGGAGCAACGCCGCGUGAGUGAAGAAGGUUUUUUCCGGAUCGUAAAACUCUGUUGUCAGAGAAGAACAAGUUGGAGAGUAACUGCUCCAGCCUUGACGGUAUCUGACCAGAAAGCCACGGCUAACUACGUGCCAGCAGCCGC
rnacentral:rRNA from 1 species